rnacentral:lncRNA from 1 species
AGUAUUGCUUUGCCUUGUUUGGGGGGUAAAAACCCUUUACACCCCGGUCUUCCCUCCUUAGGCCGUGACGUAUCACAUCCCUGAGCUGACUUCUUUGCAGGGAGAAGUGAGCCCAAGAGGAGAAGAGGCUUGACUUUAAGUAGAUCCACCUUCCCUAGUGUGGUCGAACCAGAGCCCGAGUCUACCACCAGCGUAUCCUCCAAAGACCCUGGUGCCAGCUGGCAUCCUGAGAACGGGAGAAGAAGAGAAUACAGGAGGGGCGAAAUCAUAGGAAUCCCCGGAUUGAGAACUCUACUCAAUCAUUCGGCCGGGCCGCGUUUUCACCGUGGGUCGUCCUGUCGGGACCCUCGACGUGGUGGCUUCACAAAGGUAUCGUUCAUGUUUCCUACACUCUUUCCAAAGUCCAGGGUCUGAGCGGCUCUGUGUGAGUGUAUUUACUUCCCUGUAAACACCGUGAACGCUCGUAUGAAUACCUCCGUUCCAGCCAGAAACUGCCCUGGGAUCUGCGAAAAGGUAAAGUGCUCGUUCAUAUGAGGUAGUGUUAAAAUGUAGACGUUUCCUCCUUUGUGUUGUUGCCACAUCUAAGCAGCAUCCCAUUCCUGGAGAGGUCGCGUUCCCAGGAUAUUCACUCACUGUUAAAAAUUAACUUGUUUUAUAAAUACUUUAUUCUUACAAAUAUUAGUUUGGUGGGCAGCUGUGGAAUUGUGCUAAAAGCUUGAGUUACAAGGACUGAGAGUUUAAGGCUCUGACGGCCACUUAUUAGCAAAUACUAUGCACCUAAAAUGGCUAUGAUUAGGAUUAAACAGAAUAAUCCAUGUGCACACAUUGUAGAAACUAUAGGACAUUUGUACAAAUGUGAGAGCUUAUUACUUUGCUCAAAAUGUAAUAGACAUUUGCAUUUCUAUGUAGAAAUCAUGAAUGUUUAUAUAAAGUGUUUUCUAUAUGAUGGAUAGCGAUUAUGUCCAGAUUGGAGAUGUGUAUUGAUAAGCUUCCUAUCUAAUUUUUGUGACCCAUUUAUUUUAACAAGACAUUUUACUUUAUAGCAGCCUUGAAAUUUGCCUCAGAGCGUCCAUGGGCAGGGACUACAGCUAUCAGACCCACUGUUUAUGGUGCAAAAAUCAAACUAAACAUUUAUAAAAAUUUCCACCGAAGAUUCCAGCUAAUGAAAGCGCCAUUCGUGGCUGCUAAAACAUGCGCACACAUAGGUAUUGCCCCAUUUAUCAGACAUGAGAGCUAAUUACCUCAUACACCACUAUACCUCUUCCACCCUCUGCAUUUCAAUUCCCAAUAUUAACACAUAGGUGGUCAAGCUGACCAUUGAAUAGCCGCAUGAGCAUGAAUGCAUUAAAUAAUUUAAUGUUGGAAGAGUUUAUUAAACUGCCACAUUCUAAUCAGCAUGCGUACCUGCCUUCAUUAAUUUUGCUCUGGUCCAUGGUGUGUCUCUACCGCCAACACGGAGAGCACUAAUGUUAAUAGGGGCUCUUAACAAACAGGACCAGUUAAUCAAGGAAAAUUUACUCUGAAGCACAUGACCACGCAUACUGCGAUCUCAUUACAGUCGGGUUUAACCCUCACCCUGCCACACCCGUUUAGAUGUCUUUCUAAUUACUUGUCAAUGAAACCGCAGAAAAGAAGGCUCCAUUACUUCAUUAGGGUGAGAGGGAUAUUUGCAUCCACACACGAUUUUGUACAUGAGAGGGCUUUCUGCUUGCUACAGUCCCAGGCUGGAUCAGUUCAGCUUUGUUAGUUUUAAAGAUCACAGUGAAGAGAGCUCUGGUUCCGUCUCCUAAAUAUUUUUAAUUCUCUGAAAAUAACUGAUGACCAGAAGAGCGUUUCUCUGAAUGAACAGCCAUGCUCUAAACCAGUUCAGGUGAAAUUCAGUAGCUGGCAGCUUACAGUCAUUGCUGUGCAAAUGGUGUGGACACAAUGUAGGUUAUUUUGUUUGACUGUUUAACAGAAUGAUCUGAGAUUUUAGCAUUAAGUCUGAUAAGACUGGAGCCCCAUCAUUUAAGGGCAUUUGUCUACCUCGCUAUCAGCGAACUGGAGAAACACCUACCAGGACGGUCUGGUUUGCAUAUUUAGAAGCAGUAUAUGAAAUGGAAAAGAAAGUGUGACUGGGUGUUUUGGGGUUUUUUUUACUUCUUCAAGUUGUUGCGGUUCCUGUGUUAUUUUUGCGUCGCGUAAGUGUGUGUGUUUAUACGGUGGAUCUCUGGUUUUGUGACCUUGCCAUUUGCAGUGAAGAGGUACCACUUCUGAAUCAGGGUAAGAAGAGAAUUCGGACACCUUGGAAAAGCCAGUGCUGGUAUCUGUGAGACCUCAAGGCGAGAAGUCACAGCGCUCUUGUCAGAUUUUGCCUCGUGACCUUCUCUCUCCUUGAAACUGUAACCCCCCCCCCCAACACCCCAAUGGGACUAGCGAAAUAUCCCAGCCGUUUGCCAAGAAUUUCAGUGUGAUAACUGAAAGGGCUUUUUGAAAUACUUUCCUAAAAGACUCUAAUUACUCCAUUUUAGACAUUUCUUCCUAUGGAGGCUGAUAAAGACUAUUUCCCUAUAGUUUCUUUUAUUUUAGGUCAAAUUAUCUUGCUUUAAUGUUAGAGGCAGUUCCUCGGGGGUCAGCUGUGGGAUCGGAUGAACUGUGUUUUUAUGGAGCGUGGGUUUGGCCAGAGGAUACCAUUUCCUUCUGCAUCAGGGGGCAAUAGUUCCGUAUCUGUAUGAUGCUUUUUCUUCUGACUCCUGGGUUUAUAAGGGGUUGUUACAGGUUUCCUUUUCAGAAAGCAGCAGUCGUGUCUGGAUUUUAUGACUGUGUAUUAUUCAGCGAUCUUAUUGUUGGAGCAUCACUGCUAUCCAAUGAUGAGUUGAUUGGAUACCGUUCUGUUUACAAAGAAGGGUUCAUAGGCGCCUCCGACUAAAAUGCAGCCUUGCAAGAACAUUGAAAAUGCGAUGCGACACAAAAUUCAGUGCACACCCCUUGCCCCUAUCUGUCCAGUCCUAGAGGCGACAUCAAUUUCCUAAUGCCUGUCCCAGGAUCCAGGCAGACGCGGCAUUACGUACUGCCCCCGCUGGAAGGAAAUACAAGAGGGGCAUGCUAGGACCCGUGGCGGCCUGUCCCCAGGGCUCUGACCUUAAAACAUUGGGUGGGGGGUCAGUAUUCGCCCUUCUCUGUUCAAGUUCCCAAGAAGGCAUAGAGUAACAUCAUAUUUGAAGGGAGAAAACAUUUUGAGUUUAACCAAGAAAAAUAUUUUCUCACUUGAAUGGUGCAGUGUGUUCCAAAAUGACUGACAAAGCGUAUAAAUAACUCCUUUUGGAAACUAGACUUUCAUGUGUAGAAAACCUUUGCUUCGCUUUGCUUCUGUGUUGUCACUUGAUGUUUGGAGGAAGUCGUGUCUGCGUGUGUGGUUGCCUAGGGGAAGCUGGGAGGUUCGAGGAAAAGUGUUCAAGGGGUUGGGAGCUGUGCGUUGUGUGUCUGCUCAGUCCCUCCUCUGAGGGGAGGGACCGUGAGAUUAGCUCAUCUCUGAAGAUUUUGAGCACAUUGGUUUUAAAUCUAUGGAGUAACAGUGUAAGAGACACUACAGGACCGAAGAUUCCCUUCCAAGUUUCAGAGUCUCCCUGAGCAGUGGGGAUGGGAAAUGAUGGCUUCCUUCCUUCCUUCCUUCCUUUUUUAAAAAAUUUCCUGUUCAAAAAGGACAGCCAGGUCCAGGUCCUUUCCCUUCGUCCCCUCCUUGCAAAAUGUGCAGAUUCCACACCGAGGGCCGAUGAGGCCACAGUACCCUGUAUGACUCAUAAAUAUAAUUUAGUUUGGAAAUGUCAUAUGAUAAUCCCCCAUAAAGCCCUAUUCAUCCAAGGCCUGAGCUGUCAGGUCGUGAUGGUGCUUUGAUUAUUUUACGCAUUAUUUACGCAGGGAAGAGCCCAACGGCACAUUCCCCACACGCUUUAGGAAAGAAAAAGAGCUCAGUGGGGCAUUUGUCCUUUUCACAAACGUGGUUAACUCUGAAAAUGUUAAGGGAUGGAUACGUGAAAUUGGUUGGACAAUGUAACAUACACACGCUCUCUCCACACACACACACACACACACACACACACACACACACUACCAUUGAACAUGAGAAGAAAAUUCUGAUGUCAUAAGUGCAAGACAUGUGGACAAAAUGCGAAGCAUUCACUCUCAGUGGUAGUUUUGUCUGGAUUCACAGAAGGUGUUCAGCAGCUAAGACAGCACGACUACAAGGUAGAGGAACCUUUGCUUUCAUAACCAGAAGCUGGGUCCAGGAGCCAGGGACGGAGGGAGCGUGCGGGGCAGGUCGGGCGGGGAGCUGGACGCAAGGUGCACACAGCCAGGUCUGCCACGCAGAGAGGGUGGAUCCCAACAGAGACGCUGCGCGCGCCCCCGCGCACCUGCUCAGCGCCCCCGCGGACGGCUGGGCCCUCAGGUCCGCUGCAGGGACGGAGGUUUCCUGCGGGAGGGCCAAUUGGAAGCGAGGAAGAGCGCGGGAAGCGAUUUUUGAUCUGCGGCAUCUCUGGGUGUUUACCGCGGUAGCCCGACAUACCUCUGGCAAUUCUUUUGAGACCUAGAUGAGAAAAAGGAGAUUGUGUGAGAAAGACAUUAAAAGAGAAAGGGAGACCUUGCAACCCAGAAAUGACAAAAAA